UUUGAARWGAGAGUUAAAAAGUACGUGAAACCGUUGCAAGGGAAGCGAAUGGAGUUUGCAAUUCCGCGCUUGCUUUCGAUCUUUCUAGACGAAACCAGCACGCACGCGUUACGUGACCGGUGCAUUUCCGCUUGGCGAAGGUCAGCGUCGGUUUGCGCGGAGCGGAAAAGCCGCAAGCACGGUAGGUCGCUAGGCUUGUGUGCCAUUCACGUCGACCGGCUGCAGCACGAACCUGCUGGAUGAUGUCCUCGUUUUUACGUCGGAUGGACGGCUUUGCCUGUGCGUCCGUGCGCGUCCUUUCGAACGAAUGAGAAAACAGACACGACGUGCUGAAGACGCUGACUUCUCGUCGGCUCUAUCCGACCCGUCUUGAAACACGGACCAAGGAGUCUAACAUGUGUGCAAGUCCCAGAGUGAUCGAAACUCGUUGGGCGAAAUGAAAGUGAAUGUAGCUUCGGCUGCAAAGAUGAGAGGCGUGGCGGCAUCAUCGACCGACCUAUUCUACUCUUAGAAAGGUUUGAGUUGGAGCGUACCUGUUGGGACCC
rnacentral:rRNA from 1 species